rnacentral:rRNA from 1 species
CAGAACUUAAAGGAAUUCGGACGGGGCCCGCACAAGCGGUGGAGCAUGUGGUUAAUUCGAUGAUACGCGAGGAACCUUACCUGGGCUCAAAUGUAUGUUGACGUAUUCUGAAAGGGAUACUUCUUCGGACAAUAUACAAGGUGCUGCAUGGUUGUCGUCAGCUCGUGCCGUGAGGUGUCGGGUUAAGUCCCAUAACGAGCGCAACCCCUAUCAUUAGUUGCCAUCAGGUCAAGCUGGGGACUCUAAUGAAACUGCCUACGCAAGUAGUGAGGAAGGUGGGGAUGACGUCAAAUCAGCACGGCCCUUACGUCCAGGGCUACACACGUGCUACAAUGGUCGGUACAAAGGGUUGCCAAGCCGCGAGGUGGAGCUAAUCCCAUAAAACCGAUCGUAGUCCGGAUCGCAGUCUGCAACCCGACUCCAUGAAGUUGGAAUCGCUAGUAAUCGCGCAUCAGCAUGGCGCGGUGAAUACGUUCCCGGGCCUU